UUUUGGUCAACGAUCUACACAAAAUACUGCCCCACCUGGAUUGUACAAUAUUUGCCUUUUAUUUUUAUUAUUCAAGCUCUGAAGUUGACCAUUGCUAGAAAGCCAUUUUCAAGCCAAAACUGUAACUAGGCCACUCAGGAACAUUCAAUCAAGUCUUGGUAAGCAACUGAUGUGUUUUAAGUUAUUGUCCUGAUUUUAAUUUUCUUGUGAUUUAGCAGACACUUAUCCAGAGCAACUUACAGUAGUGAUUGGAUAUAUUCAUUAUUUUUCCUGUACUGGUCCCCAGUGGGGAUCAAACCCACAACCCUGGCGUUGCAAGCGCCAUGCUCUACCAACUGAGCCACACAGGUGAAUCUCCCAGUGUCUGUUGGAAAGAAGACUGAACCAGGUCUUCCUCCAGGAUUUUGCAUGUGCUUAGCUGUAUUACGUGUCUCCCUCCCGCCAAAACUAGUCCUUGCCAAUGACAAGCAUACCCAUAACGUGAUGCAUCCACCCCUAUGCUUGAUAAUAAAUAGUAAUCAGUGAUGUGUUGGGUUUUCCCCAAACACAACGCUUUGUAUUCUGGAGAAAAAGUUAAUUUCUUUGCCACAUUUUUUUGCAGUAUUACUUUAGUGUCUGGAAUAUUUUUAUUCUGUGCAGGCUUCCUUUUCACACCCUGAUCUUUGGUUGAAUCUGUGCUUGAAAUUCAUGGCUCAAUUAAGGGACCUUACAAUUACCUGUAUGUGUGGGGUACAGAGAUUGGGUAGUCAAUCUAAAAAAAUUGGGCUGUAACACAGCAAAAUGUGGAAACUAAAGGGGUGUGAAUACUUUCAGAAUGACUUUCUUUGACUGGGGACUGAGUUUUUGUCCUGAAGUGGAGGUGACCGUUGGUCUCAGUUGGAACAUUGGACUCUGGAGAUAAUUAGGCUAAUAAUGACCUUAAUUCCAUUGACGUAUGAGCGACACGCACUGCCGCUCUCUGAUGGAUAGAUCUCACACACACACAGAGCUGGGUGCUGACGCUGCUGCAGUACCCCCUGAAAAAUCGUAUUUUUUAAAAAGAUUUGUAUUUAUUUUUUCGUCACAAAGUAGUGCCUUUCCUAGUCCUUCCCACGGCUAUGCGCUCACACACACACACACACACACACACACACAGAGACAGACAAUUUUCACUUAUGGAAAAACAUAUCCACAAGACCUUGAUCAAUUUCUGACCUAUUCCUGACACAUCGCCUGGCAACAGUAAAAUAUUCAGGUGUGUGAUGAUUGGUCAGUAUGAUGCGAAGAGUCAAAGCUAAUUCUUAACUGUGAUCCAUAUUAUUUAAAAUGUAUUGCCUUUAGGUCUUAGUAACAGUAGGGCAAUUAUUUAGCAGUUCAGAUCAGGAAAUGCCAACGUGGCAGUUCUAUGAUUGUUUAUUCAACAGAGAGAUACCCAUCAUAAAGCAACAUUAAACCUUACUCUAUCAUAGGUAGCUUAUAGUUUGCGUCACAAUGCGGUACCGAUGAUGUAAAGAUGCGUGUAAGGUCUAUUAAAUGAAUGGCCUGUGAUAAGCCUAUUAAUGUGUGAGCUGGCAGGAGUGUUUGUUUGUGUGGCUCUCCCUCGUUUCUAACCAACCGUAUUACUGUCGCUGAAAUGGAUGGCUGAAUUGAGAAAGCAGCCACAUCAUGGGAGAAUCAAGUAUGAGUGUACACAAGAUAAGGGACCCUCUUUUCCAAUACCAGAAUAUGACUCAAAUCCUAAAUGUAUAUGCCAUCACUAAAUUAAACUAUGUUAGGCAUAGAGCAGAGAUUCAUACAAAAUACAAUCCUUUAAAACCUCUUGGCGCACAGAUCCCUUUAGCGGAAUCAUUUUCGUCAACAUCUGGUGAAUUGCAGAGCGCCAAAUUCAAACUAAAUCACUAAAAAUAUUACAUUUUCAUAAUCACAAGUGCAAUAUACCAAAACACAACUUAACUUGUUAAUCCACCUGGCGUGUCAGAUUUAAAAAAGGCUUUGCGGUGAAAGCAAACCAUGCGAUUAUUUGAGGACAGCUCUCAGCAGACAAAACAUUACAAACAGCUAGCAGCAAAGUAGAUUGGUCACGAAAGUCAGAAAAACAAUCAAAUGAAUCGUUUACCUUUGAUCUUCAUAUGUUUGCACUCACGAGACUCCCAGUUACACAAAUGUUUUUUGUUUGAUAGAGAUUCUCUUUAUAUCCAAAAAUCUCCAUUUGGUUGGUGCGUUUUGUUCAGAAAUCCACAGGCUCGUGCGGUCACGAAGGGCAGACGAAAAUUCCAAAUAGUACCCGUAAAGUUCGUAGAAACAUGUCAAACGUUUUUUAGAAUCAAUCGUCAGGUUGUUUUUACAAUAAAUAAUCGAUAAUAUUUCAACCGGACGGUAGCCUUUUCAAUAAAAAAGAGAAAGAAAAGGUCUCGCUCCAGGCGCGGGCGCAUGCACAAAUUUGAGGACACUGACGCGGUGUGAUCAUUCUCGCUCAUUUUUUCAGAAUAAAAGCCUGAAACUAUGUCUAAAGACUGUUCACACCUUGUGGAAGCCAUAGGGAAAGGAAUCUGGUUGAUAUCCCUUUAAAUGGAGGAUACGCUUGCAAUGGAAAUGUGUAGUUUCAGAAAAACAGCACUUCCUGGAUGGAUUUUCCUCAGGUUUUCGCCUGCAAUAUCAGUUCUGCUAUACUCAGACAAUAUUUUGAUAGUUUUGGAAACUUUACUGUGUUUUCUAUCCGAAUCUGCCAAUUAUAUGCAUAUUCUAUUUUCUGUGCCUGAGAAAUAGGCAGUUUACUUUGGGCAUGUUUUCAUCCAAACAUCAAAAUACUGCCCCCUAGCCUCAAGAGGUUUUAAUUUAGACGUGAAAAUUGGGAUACUGUUCUGUACAGGCAUAAGUGUAUAGUUGCUAAUGAUUGAUCCACUAAAAUAGCAUCAAAGAUGGUGAAUCCGAGUCACAUCAACAUGUGACCUUCGUGACCCCUUAUCGCUAUAAUAUCUCACGCUCUCUCCUUGGUAAAGCCAACAGUGAUUGCUAGGAAGGUAGACUGAUUAUACUUUAUAUCCUUGCAGAAAAGUCCCCCCCCCCCCUCCAUCUCAGUGCCAAGGACCAUAAAAAAGUCCAAAGAUCAAACUGCAAGCACUGUAACAAAAACAGCAGACUUGGGAGGGUUUGCUGUACAAACUACCAAGAACACGCACCAGACCCGACCUUCACACAUAGGGAUUAAGGAUGGCAACUUUUGAAAUGAAGAGCAUUCUGAAGGUGUCGAAGCUGAAGUUGGAGAGCUCUACCCAGAGUCACUCCAUCGGGGCGGUGCGAUGGAACCUUCCUGAAGAAGACCUCCAGGCCCACAGCUCAGCCCCUACCAGCCCCUCCAAGAGCUGCGCCCCCUCCACAUGCCGCUUACGGCAACAUCGUCGUCAAAACGGCCUGAAGAACCUGCGCAGCCUGCAGGAGUGUGUCCGCUUCAUCAACCACUGGAAGGAGCAGGUGGCCGAAGUCUGUCAAAGUGGCAGUGAUGCAAGGGAAGGCACCAGUAAAGGAGAGACCUCUGAGGAACUGAAAGACCCAAGAACAGAACGCAGUCUGGAGGAGAGCAGGAAACUCAUUCUCCUGUGGGCCAAUGAGCUCACAAGUGUCGACAAGGAGUUGAUGAAAAGCCCCUGGGUGCAGGAGAGAAGUGAGAAGGUGGAGGAGGAGGAAGAAAACAGGGAUGGAGAGGAGGAUCCUAACGAGGAAGUGCAGCAGAGGAUCAUGGAAUGGGCCAAGGAGCUGCAGAGCGCCUCAGAGAGCUGUGGGGUGCAAAGCGACGAGCUCGGCAAGGUUCUGCGUCUGCUGGGCCUGAGGAAGAAGAGACUGGUCAACCUCCUGCCCUUACUGGAGUUCAUUACCUGGUCACUGCUAAAGGAGGACUGCAAGGUGAGUUCCAGACACCGACGCACGCAGGCGCACACAACAAAAAAAGAAGGGGAGAAAGAGGUCAACAUUAUAUAUUGGAGAACUAGUUUAAUAGUUUAUUAGUUUCAUAGUUUAAUAGUUUAUUAGUGGUCAUCUCAUUAAACAUUAUGUUAUGUUAUGUUUACAGCGUUUUAUUUUCUGAAGUCGUACCCUCACCUGAAUCCAUUAUAAUUAGUUAGCAAUGUUCCCUCUUUAUCAUUCACAUUUCUGUUGAUUGAGGAUCAGCAAUACAAUUAUAUAGUCUAUACAUGCUUAAAUAUGCAUACCUCCACCAGGUUAAAAACAGGUGUUAUUUUAGAUUCUGUACUAAAUUUCGAGUCACACAUUAGGAAUGUGACCAAAAUAGCUUUUUACCACCUGAAGUACAUUGCCAAGGUGCGGCCUUUUCUCUCUCAGGCUGAGACAGAGAGACUCAUCCAUGCUUUUAUUACAAGCAGGCUUAAAUACUGUGAUGCUCUCUGGUCUGGUCUACACAAGAAAGCCAUGGGUCAACUACAAAACAUACAGAAUGCUGCAGCAUGGGUACUGACCAAGACCAGACAGAGAGCACACAUUACACUGGUUUUAAGGUGUCUGUACUACAAAACAUACAGAAUGCUGCAGCAUGGGUACUGACCAAGACCAGACAGAGAGCACACAUUACACUGGUUUUAAGGUCUCUGUACUGUAAAACAUACAGAAUGCUGCAGCACAGGUACUGACCAAGACCAGACAGAGAGCACACAUUACUGGUUUUAAGGUCUCUGUACUGUAAAACAUACAGAAUGCUGCAGCACAGGUACUGACCAAGACCAGACAGAGAGUACACAUUACACCCGUUUUAAAAUCUCUGACUGGCUGUCUGUGAGUUUUAGAAUUCAUUUAAAAAUUAUUCUAUUGGUUUUUAAAUCAAUUUACGAUUGUGCACCCCAAUACAUGUCAGACAUGCUUUUAAGUUAUGAAGUAUGUCCCAGUAUGUCCCUCAGGUCCUCUGGUACUGGCAUUUUAACUAUCCCAAAGCCUAGAACCAAGGGUAUCAGACCUCAGGAUAAGACCCAAAUGCAGACAGUUCGAAGUAACACAGGUUUAUUACAAAAACAGGGGGCAGACAAACAACAGGUCAAGGGCAGGCAGAGGUCAUUAAUCCAGAGCAGUGUCACAAGGUACAGAACGGCAGGCAGGGUCAGGGCAGGCAGAGGUCAUUAAUCCAGAGCAGUGUCACAAGGUACAGAACGGCAGGCAGGGUCAGGGCAGGCAGGGUCAUUAAUCCAGAGCAGUGUCACAAGGUACAGAACAGCAGGCAGGGUCAUUAAUCCAGAGCAGUGUCACAGGGUACAGAACGGCAGGCAGGGUCAUUAAUCCAGAGCAGUGUCACAAGGUACAGAACGGCAGGCAGGGUCAUUAAUCCAGAGCAGUGUCACAGGGUACAGAACGGCAGGCAGGGUCAUUAAUCCAGAGCAGUGUCACAAGGUACAGAACGGCAGGCAGGGUCAGGGCAGGCAGGGUCAUUAAUCCAGAGCAGUGUCACAGGGUACAGAAUGGCAGGCAGGGUCAUUAAUCCAGAGCAGUGUCACAGGGUACAGAAUGGCAGGCAGGGUCAUUAAUCCAGAGCAGUGUCACAGGGUACAGAACGGCAGGCAGGGUCAUUAAUCCAGAGCAGUGUCACAAGGUACAGAACGGCAGGCAGAGGUCAUUAAUCCAGAGCAGUGUCACAAGGUACAGAAUGGCAGGCAGGGUCAGGGCAGGUAAAAUGGUCAAAACUGGGAAAACAAGAAAAUGGGGUACGGUCAAACGCUGGUAGGCUUGGCGAGACAAGACGAACUGGCAGCAGACAAACAGAAGACAGGUAUAAUACACAGGGGAUAAUGGGGCAAAUGGGCGACACCUGGAGGGAAUUGGAAACAAGCACAAAAACAGGUGAAACAAAUCAGGGUGUGACAGAGGUAUGGAGAGGCAGCCUUUAGUUAUUAUGCCUCCAGCCUCUGGAAUAGCCUGCCAGAGAACCCGAGGGGGGCUGGAACUGUGGACAAAGUUAAGAGAUCUUAAGAUUUUAAAAAACAAAAUGACAAACGGAACAACUAAAAACCACAUCCUAUGGAAAAGCAAAGCUAAAAAAUAUGUUUGUCGUAAAUAUUUCCGCUUUUAUUUUCAUUGUUUAUUUAUUUUUUCGUGUAAAGACAUUCCAUGUCUGAAAUGUGCUGUAUAAAUAAAGCUUGAUUUGAUUUCUACCCACCUACUUACCUAAAGUGUUAUGAA